GCCCGAUUAGCUCAGCUGGUUAGAGUGUCGUACUAAUAUUCUCUCCAGAAUACUAAGUAAUGCGAAGGUGAAUAGUUCAAUACUGUUUUCCUGACC